CCCUAUGGGUGCAGCAGGCCACGGGUCCAUUCCUGGAUGCGAUUGAAAAUGGCGGAGGAGUGCCAGGGGUUGGUUGAUUCUGCGACGAUCGCGUCUUCAUCGAUGAGGGACAUACGGGCGGAAAUCUGGUUGUAUUUAUAGUAGGUAAACGAUUUGAGACAGGGCAAUUGGGGUUCACGGUUUUUUGUUGCGGAGAGUUUGCCGGUGAGAUGGACUUUCAUGCCGGGCUGGUAAUUGUCGUGCAUGCCGAGGAGCGAGACUUCGACGAGGCCGGUGACGCAGGCGGUUUUUCCGAGAGCGCGGAGGUGGUCGGCCUGGAGGAGGAAGCGGGUGUGCAGAUUCGGCGACGAUUGGUAGGGGAAGGUUCGCUGUGGCUGAUUGAUGGCGGGGGAGC
rnacentral:rRNA from 1 species